AUGUUCAAGUCGAGCUUCGUGAAUAUGAAGGCCUGUAUGAUCAAGAAUCUAUUGCCAUCAAUUGAAUCUCACAUGCGUGUGCUAGGUGCUGGAAGAAAUACUUCUCUUUUAGUUUAUAUGGAUGUGCUUACGUAUAUAUGUACUGGCACAUCUAGCCGGAACAUGAUUGGGAUGUCAGUUUCGCUACUACGCGCCUGUGUCUUCGUGCCAUGUGAGUCGCAACUCACGGCCUGUAUCAACAGCUUCAAUCAUAUUUCUUCUCUCUUCAUAACUAAUGUCAUCAAAUCUGAUAGUCGUCUACAGUGGUUUUCCAUGUGGAUACUGAGAUGCAUGGCACCAUUGUGCAGAUACUUGGAGUAUAUAUCUAGCAUAUCAAGCCACCAGAGACAAGCAAUACUUCGUUGA
rnacentral:rRNA from 1 species